GUUUGAUCCUGGCUCAGAACGAACGCUGGCGGCAUGCCUUAUACAUGCAAGUCGAACGAGAAAGUCACUUCGGUGGCGAGUACAGUGGCGCACGGGUGAGUAACGCGUAGAUGAUCUACCCUUCAGUCUGGGACAACUCUUGGAAACGGGAGCUAAUACCGGAUAAAACCUUCGGGUUGAAAGAUUUAUUGCUGAGGGAUGAGUCUGCGUACCAUUAGCUUGUUGGUGGGGUAACGGCCUACCAAGGCGACGAUGGUUAGCGGGUCUGAGAGGACGAUCCGCCACACUGGAACUGAGACACGGUCCAGACUCCUACGGGAGGCAGCAGUAGGGAAUAUUGCGCAAUGGGGGCAACCCUGACGCAGCAAUGCCGCGUGAGUGAAGAAGGCCUUCGGGUCGUAAAGCUCUUUUAUGGGGGAAGAUGAUGACGGUACCCCAUGAAUAAGCACCGGCUAACUACGUGCCAGCAGCCGCGGUAAUACGUAGGGUGCGAGCGUUGUUCGGAAUUACUGGGCGUAAAGGGCGUGCAGGCGGAUUGGCAAGCCGGAGGUGAAAGCCCCGGGCUCAACCUGGGAACUGCAUUUGAUACUGGAUACCUAGAGUUUGGUAGAGGGAAGUGGAAUUUCCGGUGUAGCGGUGAAAUGCAUAGAUAUCGGAAGGAACAUCAGUGGCGAAGGCGGCUUCCUGGACCAAUACUGACACUGAGGUACGAAAGCGUGGGUAGCAAACAGGAUUAGAUACCCUGGUAGUCCACGCCGUAAACGAUGAGAACUAGGUGUUGGAGAAUUUAUUUCUUCAGUACCGCAGCUAACGCGUUAAGUUCUCCGCCUGGGGAGUACGGCCGCAAGGCUAAAACUCAAAGGAAUUGACGGGGGCCCGCACAAGCGGUGGAGCAUGUGGUUUAAUUCGAUGCAACGCGAAGAACCUUACCUACUCUUGACAUCCCUGAAACCUGCUAGAGAUAGCAGGGUGCCUUCGGGAAUCAGGUGACAGGUGUUGCAUGGCUGUCGUCAGCUCGUGUCGUGAGAUGUUGGGUUAAGUCCCGUAACGAGCGCAACCCUUAUCCUUAGUUACCAGCACGUAAUGGUGGGGACUCUAGGGAGACUGCCGGUGAUAAACCGGAGGAAGGCGAGGACGACGUCAAGUCAUCAUGGCCCUUACGAGUAGGGCUACACACGUGCUACAAUGGGCAGUACAACGGGUCGCGAAGCCGUGAGGUGGAGCUAAUCCUUUAAAGCUGUUCUCAGUCCGGAUUGAAGUCUGCAACUCGACUUCAUGAAGUUGGAAUCGCUAGUAAUCGCGAAUCAGCAUGUCGCGGUGAAUACGUUCUCGGGUCUUGUACACACCGCCCGUCACACCAUGGAAGUGUGUUGCACCAGAAGUAGGUAGUCUAACCUUCGGGAAGGCGCUUACCACGGUGUGAUCCAUGACUGGGGUGAAGUCAUAACAAGGUAGCCGUA
rnacentral:rRNA from 1 species